GAGUUUGAUCAUGGCUCAGAUUGAACGCUGGCGGCAUGCCUUACACAUGCAAGUCGAACGGCAGCACGGGUGCUUGCACCUGGUGGCGAGUGGCGAACGGGUGAGUAAUACAUCGGAACAUGUCCUGUAGUGGGGGAUAGCCCGGCGAAAGCCGGAUUAAUACCGCAUACGAUCUACGGAUGAAAGCGGGGGACCUUCGGGCCUCGCGCUAUAGGGUUGGCCGAUGGCUGAUUAGCUAGUUGGUGGGGUAAAGGCCUACCAAGGCGACGAUCAGUAGCUGGUCUGAGAGGACGACCAGCCACACUGGGACUGAGACACGGCCCAGACUCCUACGGGAGGCAGCAGUGGGGAAUUUUGGACAAUGGGCGAAAGCCUGAUCCAGCAAUGCCGCGUGUGUGAAGAAGGCCUUCGGGUUGUAAAGCACUUUUGUCCGGAAAGAAAUCCUUGGCUCUAAUACAGUCGGGGGAUGACGGUACCGGAAGAAUAAGCACCGGCUAACUACGUGCCAGCAGCCGCGGUAAUACGUAGGGUGCGAGCGUUAAUCGGAAUUACUGGGCGUAAAGCGUGCGCAGGCGGUUUGCUAAGACCGAUGUGAAAUCCCCGGGCUCAACCUGGGAACUGCAUUGGUGACUGGCAGGCUAGAGUAUGGCAGAGGGGGGUAGAAUUCCACGUGUAGCAGUGAAAUGCGUAGAGAUGUGGAGGAAUACCGAUGGCGAAGGCAGCCCCCUGGGCCAAUACUGACGCUCAUGCACGAAAGCGUGGGGAGCAAACAGGAUUAGAUACCCUGGUAGUCCACGCCCUAAACGAUGUCAACUAGUUGUUGGGGAUUCAUUUCCUUAGUAACGUAGCUAACGCGUGAAGUUGACCGCCUGGGGAGUACGGUCGCAAGAUUAAAACUCAAAGGAAUUGACGGGGACCCGCACAAGCGGUGGAUGAUGUGGAUUAAUUCGAUGCAACGCGAAAAACCUUACCUACCCUUGACAUGGUCGGAAUCCCGCUGAGAGGUGGGAGUGCUCGAAAGAGAACCGGCGCACAGGUGCUGCAUGGCUGUCGUCAGCUCGUGUCGUGAGAUGUUGGGUUAAGUCCCGCAACGAGCGCAACCCUUGUCCUUAGUUGCUACGCAAGAGCACUCUAAGGAGACUGCCGGUGACAAACCGGAGGAAGGUGGGGAUGACGUCAAGUCCUCAUGGCCCUUAUGGGUAGGGCUUCACACGUCAUACAAUGGUCGGAACAGAGGGUUGCCAACCCGCGAGGGGGAGCUAAUCCCAGAAAACCGAUCGUAGUCCGGAUUGCACUCUGCAACUCGAGUGCAUGAAGCUGGAAUCGCUAGUAAUCGCGGAUCAGCAUGCCGCGGUGAAUACGU
rnacentral:rRNA from 1 species